AUGGCCAACCGCGGCGGCGCGUUCGCUGCUCCGUGUGGAAAUGGCGAAGGAUCGGGAGGACUCCAACGACGAAGCCUGCCGAGGCGGGGGCAGAUCAAGGCGAGGAUAGCGUCUUCCGCCGUGCACUCCGUCGCCGCGGUGCUCCUGAGAGCUGUAGGAAGACAUCGGCUCGUUCUGAGGCGUGAGCUUGGUUCGACGAGUAGUCCUGUUAGGUGA
rnacentral:rRNA from 1 species